CAGUGAGGAAUAUUGGUCAAUAGCCUAACGGCUGAACCAGCAACUUGGGAGAAUGCUACUUAUUAGUCGAGAAAGUAAGUAUACAUUUACCUUGUAUAUAGUUCUAGGUAAAAUUUUGAUAAUGACAAAUUUUUAUUUAUUUGUCUUGACCAAAUCUUGUGCCAGCAGUCGCGGCAACACAAGGAAGACAAGUGUUAUUCAUCUUAAAUAGGUUUAAGGGGUACCUAGACGGUAAAUUAGGCCAUAGUAGGUACGUUUUUACUAGAGUUAUACAUGCAUGGGGAUUGUGUCAGUAUUACCAGAGUAGAGAUAGAAUUUUUUGAUACUGUUAAGACUGGUAAAGGSGAAAGCAAACCUUUAAAUAUUAACUGACGUUGAGGGACGAAGGCUUGGGGAGCAAACAGGAUUAGAUACCCUAAUAGUCCAGGCAGAGAAUUAUGAAUGUCAUAGGUUAUUUUUUUAAAUAGUCUAUAAAUGAAAGUGUAAGCAUUCCACCUCAAGAGUAAUGUGGCAACGCAGGACCUGAAAUCAUUAGACCGUUUCU
rnacentral:rRNA from 1 species